rnacentral:lncRNA from 1 species
AUGACAGGGACUCUCUUUCCAAGAAAUUACACUGUGUUCAAUUCUCUCCCAUCAAGAGCAGGCAAUGUUCCGGAUCCGGCCAUUGUCGUGUCUGCCGAAAAACCACAUCUGGUUCACCACCGCCUCAACAGAUACACAAUGAAAUACAAAGGCCAAUUCUGCGGUGUACACAAUCCGUGUCAGUUUACCCAGAGGAUUCCAGAUGGAAUGAACUCCGCAGACGGGGUUCACGGAGCGCAGGCGAUGCUGGGGGAGGAGCCCUCAUUGUCUCCCUUGGAAAUCGUAAGGGGAAUAUUGGUGCUGGGAGGACAUCUCGCGCUGCAGCGGUGGAGGCGGAGGCGUUUUACACGUUGUUAAGGUAGGAGUGACGGCAUCUGUAUUUAAACCUAAUAGAAAAUAUCAGCCACCGUUUCUUGAAUGUCUGCUCUAGGCCAGAGGCCGGGCUUAAGAAUUUUCUUUGCCUGGACACAGUUCUGUGAGGUCUCCGGAGGUGUGGCUCUUGAGCGUUUUAUAGAUGUGGUAAAGUGACCUUCCCCAAACUUGAGUGGCUUCGUGUUUUUGAUUGUUUACCUAAUCUCAUUGAUGUUGAGUAUAUGCCCAGGAGUUUGUUUAUUUAUUUAUUUGCUUUUUAGGGCCACACCUUUGGAAGUUCCUGGGCUGGGGGCCGAAUGGGAGCUGCCGUGACCCGCC